rnacentral:rRNA from 1 species
CUAAGCAUAUCAAUAAGCGGAGGAAAAGAAACCAACAGGGAUUGCCCCAGUAACGGCGAGUGAAGCGGCAAGAGCUCAAAUUUGAAAGCUGGCCCCCUCGGGGUCCGCAUUGUAAUUUGCAGAGGAUGCUUCGGGAGUGGCCCCCAUCUAAGUGCUCUGGAACGGGCCGUCAUAGAGGGUGAGAAUCCCGUAUGGGAUGGGGUGUCCGCGACCAUGUGAAGCUCCUUCGACGAGUCGAGUUGUUUGGGAAUGCAGCUCUAAAUGGGUGGUAAAUUUCAUCUAAAGCUAAAUAUUGGCCGGAGACCGAUAGCGCACAAGUAGAGUGAUCGAAAGAUGAAAAGCACUUUGAAAAGAGAGUUAAAAAGCACGUGAAAUUGUUGAAAGGGAAGCGCUUGCGACCAGACUCGCCUACGGGGUUCAGCCGGUAUUCGUACCGGUGUACUUCCCCGUGGGCGGGCCAGCGUCGGUUUGGGCGGCCGGUCAAAGGCCCUCGGAAUGUAACGCCUCUCGGGGCGUCUUAUAGCCGAGGGUGCCAUGCGGCCAGCCCGGACCGAGGAACGCGCUUCGGCACGGACGCUGGCAUAAUGGUCGUAAUUACCUA